rnacentral:rRNA from 1 species
CCUACGGGAGGCAGCAGUGGGGAAUUUUGGACAAUGGGCGCAAGCCUGAUCCAGCAAUGCCGCGUGCAGGAUGAAGGCCUUCGGGUUGUAAACUGCUUUUGUACGGAACGAAACGGUGAGCUCUAAUACAGUUUGCUAAUGACGGUACCGUAAGAAUAAGCACCGGCUAACUACGUGCCAGCAGCCGCGGUAAUACGUAGGGUGCGAGCGUUAAUCGGGAUUACUGGGCGUAAAGCGUGCGCAGGCGGUGAUGUAAGGCAGAUGUGAAAUGCCCGGGCUCAACCUGGGACCUGCAUUUGUGACUGCAUCGCUAGAGUACGGUAGAGGGGGAUGGAAUUCCGCGUGUAGCAGUGAAAUGCGUAGAUAUGCGGAGGAACACCGAUGGCGAAGGCAAUCCCCUGGACCUGUACUGACGCUCAUGCACGAAAGCGUGGGGAGCAAACAGGAUUAGAUACCCUGGUAGUCCACGCCCUAAACGAUGUCAACUGGUUGUUGGGUCUUCACUGACUCAGUAACGAAGCUAACGCGUGAAGUUGACCGCCUGGGGAGGUACGGCCGCGAGUAGAACGUACAANAGAGUAGAGGCGNGAGAGNGCGACGGCGACGACGAGGGAGGUAGG